rnacentral:rRNA from 1 species
GGCGUGCCUAAUACAUGCAAGUCGAGCGAAUCUGAGGGAGCUUGCUCCCAAAGAUUAGCGGCGGACGGGUGAGUAACACGUGGGCAACCUGCCUGUAAGACUGGGAUAACUCCGGGAAACCGGGGCUAAUACCGGAUAAUAUCUAUUUAUACAUAUAAUUAGAUUGAAAGAUGGUUCUGCUAUCACUUACAGAUGGGCCCGCGGCGCAUUAGCUAGUUGGUGAGGUAACGGCUCACCAAGGCGACGAUGCGUAGCCGACCUGAGAGGGUGAUCGGCCACACUGGGACUGAGACACGGCCCAGACUCCUACGGGAGGCAGCAGUAGGGAAUCUUCCGCAAUGGACGAAAGUCUGACGGAGCAACGCCGCGUGAGUGAUGAAGGUUUUCGGAUCGUAAAACUCUGUUGUUAGGGAAGAACAAGUACCGGAGUAACUGCCGGUACCUUGACGGUACCUAACCAGAAAGCCACGGCUAACUACGUGCCAGCAGCCGCGGUAAUACGUAGGUGGCAAGCGUUGUCCGGAAUUAUUGGGCGUAAAGCGCGCGCAGGCGGUUCCUUAAGUCUGAUGUGAAAGCCCACGGCUCAACCGUGGAGGGUCAUUGGAAACUGGGGAACUUGAGUGCAGAAGAGGAAAGUGGAAUUCCAAGUGUAGCGGUGAAAUGCGUAGAGAUUUGGAGGAACACCAGUGGCGAAGGCGACUUUCUGGUCUGUAACUGACGC